rnacentral:tmRNA from 1 species
GGGGGCGACUGGAUUCGACACGAUACGUUCGAAGGAAGAAGCAGGCCGAGGUCUCCUCGCCUCGUUAAUCAGGGGUACAAGACGCCAAGCGUCGACAAUAACUACGCUCUCGCUGCCUAAAUAGUCAGCGACGCCGCCCGGUGGGAGUCCCCGCCACCGGAUCCGACGUCAGAUAGGGGACUACCGACCGGCUGACGGAAGUAUGCCGCGGGGGAAUCGCAACCUUCCUGGGAACGGACACGUGGGUCGCCGGUGUCGUCCGUUCCGAGACACAACAGGUGACUGAGCCUGGAGAUGCUUCCGGAGUGUGUGUCGUGGACCGGAGUUCGAUUCUCCGCGCCUCCACCA